rnacentral:SRP_RNA from 1 species
GCUUAAUAUAACUAUGGUCAGGCAUGGUGGCAUCCUAGCACCUCAGGAAGCUGGGAUGGGAGGAUCGCUUGAGCCUAGGAGUUCUGGGCUAUAGUAUGCUAUAUGCUAUGCUGAUAGGGUGUCUGCAUUAAGUUCAGCAUCAAUUUGGGGACUUCUUGGUAGUGGGGACCACCAGGUUGCCUAAGGUGGAGUGAACUGGCCCAGGUUGGAAAUGUGCUGAUCGAUAGUGGGAUCAUGCCUGUGAAUAGUCACUGCAGCCGAGCCUGGGCAACAGUGAAACUUCAUCUCU